rnacentral:rRNA from 1 species
AUUGAACGCUGGCGGCAUGCUUUACACAUGCAAGUCGAACGGCAGCGGGGAGGAGCUUGCUUCUCUGCCGGCGAGUGGCGAACGGGUGAGUAAUACAUCGGAACGUGUCGAGAAGAGGGGGAUAACCACCCGAAAGGGUGGCUAAUACCGCAUAAAUUCUGAGGAAGAAAGCUGGGGACCUAGGAAUAGGCCUAGCGCUUUUUGAGCGGCCGAUGUCGGAUUAGCUAGUUGGUGAGGUAAAGGCUCACCAAGGCGAAGAUCUGUAGCGGGUCUGAGAGGAUGAUCCGCCACACUGGGACUGAGACACGGCCCAGACGCCGACGGGAGGCAGCAGUGGGGAAUUUUGGACAAUGGGGGCAACCCUGAUCCAGCCAUGCCGCGUGUAUGAAGAAGGCCUUAGGGUUGUAAAGUACUUUUGUUAGGGAAGAAAAGUCAGCUGUGAAUAAUGGCUGAUACGGACGGUACCUAAAGAAUAAACACCGGCGAACUACGU